GGGAAAGCUUGUUAAGAACUAGUUAUGAAAUGUAUUUUAUCUAUAAAAGUGAUGUUUUUUGUUGAAAGUUUCUAUCAAACUUAACUUAAACUUCAUAAAAAUAGGGCCAAAAGAAGUAUUAAAAAAGAAGCUCAAAAAUGUAGUGGCCUGAUUUUUGAUUCUGAUGACAUAGCGUUAUUUUUCUAUAGAAGUAUGUGAAUAAAAUAUUUUACUACAACUCU
rnacentral:sRNA from 1 species